GGAGAUUUCUUCCUUUCCUCUCCAGGUUGCCGUAAACAGCCCACCCACCGCCCAGAGGGCACUGAGGAGGACAAAACAGGGAAUGCUGCCCUCCUGUGGCCAGAACAGGACAUUUCUGAAUAUACCAAACCCCCAAAUCCUUACAAAAGAUGAUCCUCGGUGAUUUCGGCAAAGGGCAGGAGCACAAGGUGCCCAACAGGUCCAAGCUCCUGCUGCAGGAUCCCAAAUGUAGUGAAGGAAGACUCGAAAAAUACUUUAUUGUUCUGCAUCAUAUCUUCGAAGCGUUACCCAGUUGCAACAGUUUGUACAACAAUUCAAAACAUAAUACAGUCUUACAGAUAAAAUACAUAAAAGCAUAAUCCAAUAUUUUAAGGAUAAAAAGUCACACAAAAAUUACAAAAGCAAUGAUAAAAUACCAUGGGUUAAAUAGUUCA